UACAGAGGGGGCAAGCGUUGUUCGGAAUUACUGGGCUUAAAGGGCGCGUAGGCGGCGCGGUAAGUCACUUGUGAAAUCUCUGAGCUUAACUCAGAACGGCCAAGUGAUACUGCAGUGCUAGAGUGCAGAAGGGGCAAUCGGAAUUCUUGGUGUAGCGGUGAAAUGCGUAGAUAUCAAGAGGAACACCUGAGGUGAAGACGGGUUGCUAGGCUGACACUGACGCUGAGGCGCGAAAGCCAGGGGAGCAAACGGG
rnacentral:rRNA from 1 species